UACGAAGGGGGCAAGCGUUGUUCGGAAUUACUGGGCGUAAAGGGCGCGUAGGCGGCCUUCUAAGUCGAACGUGAAAUCCCCGGGCUCAACCCGGGAACUGCGUCCGAUACUGGAAGGCUUGAAUCCGGGAGAGGGAUGCGGAAUUCCAGGUGUAGCGGUGAAAUGCGUAGAUAUCUGGAGGAACACCGGUGGCGAAGGCGGCAUCCUGGACCGGUAUUGACGCUGAGGCGCGAAAGCCAGGGGAGCAAACGGG
rnacentral:rRNA from 1 species